rnacentral:tRNA from 1 species
GGUGGUAUAGCUCAAUGGUAGAGCAUGUGCCAUGCAUGCAUGAGGUCCUGGCUUCAAUCCCUAGUACCUCCC